GGAGGCCUUCAAGGCGGAGAUCAAGAAGACAGAUGUGAAAGAAGAGAAGAGGAAGAAGGAGCUGGUCAGUACCAGGGGGCAGAGGGGGUGCGGGGCUCGGGGGAGCGGUACCACCGGCCUCCUUCCAGUUGGGCUGAGCAAUGACAUCCCCCCUCCUUUGCCAGCAUCCUAAGCCAAAGUUGUUAAAACCAGGUUAUGGAAAGAAGCUGAGGAGAUGGGGGAGGACGGCAGCAGGAGGAGGAGGUUAAGAGGGAUGCUCCGCGCUGGUGAUCUUCCCUCCGGGUUACCGCUGUUCCCACAGGCACUUCGGGCAUGCCUUUCGGACUCAGGGUCCCCCCUGAUCUUUCGAUUGCACUGGCCCAGUCAUUCCGUGUCUUCUAGAGCCUUCAUUUGGCCUCCAAUCCGAUCUUGCUUUCAGGUAUUUCUAAAAUAAGUCGCCUGCAAGCGCUAGGUUCCAAUUAUUCCACUAUCGGCCCCUUAUCCCUCCCUGGAGAACUAGGCCACCGCUGAUGGUAAGAGAGUUUUAAGGCUGUUCUCAUCGCAGUGCUCAGAAGACAUAGAGGUAAACAUAAAUAAUAAGUACUCUUAACUUCAAAAUGCAGCUCCGGUUUCUCUUUGGCGAUGAGGUUGUACUGAAACUUCCCAGAUGAGUGUACUUCGUGGGUCUUUCUUGUUUUAUUCCCCUGAGCAUUUUAAGACAAACAGUAAAUACUAAUAUGGUCGCUGUCAUUGUUGUUAUCAGGAACACAGAACUAUAACUGAAAAGCAGUUUUCUCCAGUUCCGACCAAGUGCCCACAGGUUGGUGGUGUUCAGAGCAGGGCUAGUGCCAUGCAGGACCUGGGAAAUAAUCCCAUUUGUCUAGUUUUUCUUCUUUGGGGCCUGUGGCGCUUUAGUCUGUGCAUAAUCGAGUGACCUCUGGAAUAACUGGGGAUUUCAGAGGCCUUGGAGGAGAGGCACUGCCGAGUUGGUGGCCCAGAGCCCCUUGCCGGCCAGCCCAGGCCAGGGCAGAAGAAAGUCUCCCCCAUCUACCCUAGAGCUCGAAUCUGGGAUUGCGAUUGAAAACAGGGAAACCAGAUUUAGCGCCGACCCCCGCUCGCGCCCCUACAUCUGGAGUCAGAGAAAAGGCCCCCAGCCCCUCCAUAAACGACUUGGAAACGGCUGGUUGUUUAUAAGCUUGCCUAUCCGGUAGUUGACCGUUGCAGGCGCGUGGAAGGCCUGGGCGGUAGCUAGGGCUGCGCAAACCUUCGUCGUUUUCCUGCCGGGGCUGACUUGAAACCAUCCCCUUCUCAUCCCUUACUCGUUCUUUCAUUCUCUCCUUUUCUCCCCGGAAAGUGCGGGGGGUGGCGUGGAACCAGGUCUCCUUUCUGAAUUUCUCUUUCCACUUUUCUCUCCUUCGCCUCUCCUCUGCCCAGAAUGAAAUCUUGAAAAGCACAGUGAGCAGCAACGACAAGAAAACCAAAGGCCGGACGGGCUGGCCGCAGCACGUCUGGGCCCUGGAGCUCAAGCAGUGAGGAGGAGGAGGAGGAGGAGAGCGCGAGUGAGCCGGGGCCCAGGAGCCGGAAGCAGACCCAGGACUCCGGGCAAGCUCUCCACGCUCCGCUCUGAGGACUUCUUGCAUUUGGAAUCAUCCGGUUUAUUUAUGUGCAAUUUGCCUCCCCUCUCUUUGCCCCCCUUUGAGGCAUCCGCUCCCCACCUCCCCCUCCAAAAAAAAAAAAAGUGGAUAUUUGAAGAAAAGCAUUCCAUAUUUUAAUAUGAAGAGGACACUCCCGCGUGGUAAGGGAUCCCGUCGUCUCGUAGAUUUUCUGUGUGUGAAUGUUCCCUCAAGGCUGUGUAGACACCAGCGUUGCUCCCACCCCACUUACCCAACCCCUUCCAGAUAAAGACAGCAGACAAUAGUGUGUAUGUAAAGUGUAUCUUUAAUACUUGGCCUUUGGAUAUAAAUAUUCCUGGGGAUUAUAAAGUUUUAUUUCAAAGCAGAAAACGGGGCCGCUAACAUUUCAGUUGGGGUCGGUAUCUAGUGCUGUCUUUUCAUCUGUGGUCGUUCCCUAUUCGAAGAUGUUUCCAACAGCUACUUGUUUUGUGCACUUCCGUCCUCUAAAACUAAGUGGAAUUUAAUUAAUAUUGAAGGUGUAAACGUUGUAAGUAUUCAAUAAACCACUGUGUGUUUUUUUACAAAAACCCCAAUCUUUUAAUGGUUGAUACCUCAGAAGAGUUUUGAAAACAAAACUGUUAUACUUGUUUUCAUAAUAUUUAAAAUAUUCAGA
rnacentral:lncRNA from 1 species